AAGGAAGAGAUACAGAUCUCAAACCCAGAAGCACAACUCAGAGCACCUAUGCCUCACUGGUAAAGCACUCUGUUAUCUAGUGCUACUUCCUGUCCUCGCCCCUGACCUUUCCAAAUAGCCAGGAAUGCUUUUCUUAUGAGAAAACACCAUGUCAUGAACAGAGUGUCUGCAGAGCUGUUGAAAAUGCUUCAUGAUUACAAUAUAGCAGAAGAAUGAUAUCCAACACCAACUUCUUGGGGUGUUUAUUGUUGAACAGUCAAUCCAAACCACACUGUACUUUUGAACUUCCCAUUCUAAUG
rnacentral:lncRNA from 1 species